CUUGGAAGCUGCAAAUGUGCUAAUUAUUUACAACUUCCUAUUGCCUAGCAUAGUAGUAUGCACACUCAGGAAAUGUCUUUUACACUAUUUUCUAAGAAUGCAGUGGGACUUUAUUCCAUAGAAGAGGAAGGCAAAGGCUGUGACAGGCAUCUUUCUCAUUGUGAGCUGCUGCCAAAGCCAGUGCUCCUGUGUAUCUCCUGGGUGAGGGUUUCCCAAGGGGCCUUUUCACUCCUGAGGCUCAAGAUGAAUUCUUCCAGUUACUGUCUCAAGCUCUGAAUCCAACUUGAUCUCAACUCCAGUGCUGUCUCCUUGGUGCAGAGUACACACAGGAAAAUCUUUUGAGGCUACAUCACUUGGUUGGACUGGAGCAUGGCUACGAAGAAAACUAUUGGGGCCAAUCCCCAACCUCUAAACUUCACAGAUUUAUUUUUCCAUCAAACUAUUGACAUACGGCAACAUUGAGAACUUCAGCAUCAUCGAAACCUCCGCCAGGUGUCUUGCAGAGCCGUCACAGUUCACAUCAGCAUACUGCACAAACAAAAAAGACUUGAAGAAUGAGGGAAUUGAAUACACAGCGUUCUCGAGCCUGAGAGAUAUGCUGGGAGAAGAUCUAUGAAAACAGAUUCGGUGCUGCAUACACACUGUGCCCAUCACAGCCUCCAGAGAUGAUGCUGGCUGGUAGGUGCCAAGCAUGGGACUCUGCACUCACUUGUACUCAUAGACGCUAAUGGAUACUUUCAAUUUAAAUCUAGAAUUGUCUUUUCAUUUCGAGAGUAAACAUGAAAAAGAAUGGUUUCAAGACAGCGAGCCUGCCAUGAAAUAGUUACUGUGUCUUAUAAUUUGAUGUUAUUGAAUUUAAUGAAAAGUCCAGAAAGACAGCACAAUUGAUGUCAACAUGCUGAAGCUUGAGGUCAGGAACCAUGAAACCCUUCUGUGGGUCCAUCAAAGAUGGGAAGCCAAAAUCUUCCAAUGAUGUGGAGACCAUGGAUUGCUCACCCACAGAGUCCCCUACAGAGGGGCUUUUAGGAGGUCACCAGUAAGACCAGGAACUUUUUCUCAUAAUUGAACAGAAUUUGUGUGCUUCUAGUCACUCAUUUGUUAAUUUAUAAUGAAUUAUUACGGAACAUGUCAGGCAUGAUACUUGGCAAAAUAAAUACUACAACCAAUGUUGG
rnacentral:lncRNA from 10 species